ACAUGCAAGUCGAGGGGCAUCAGGAAGAAAGCUUGCUUUCUUUGCUGGCGACCGGCGCACGGGUGAGUAACACGUAUCCAACCUGCCCUUUACUCGGGGAUAGCCUUUCGAAAGAAAGAUUAAUACCCGAUAGCAUAAUGAUUCCGCAUGGUUUCAUUAUUAAAGGAUUCCGGUAAAGGAUGGGGAUGCGUUCCAUUAGGUUGUUGGUGAGGUAACGGCUCACCAAGCCUUCGAUGGAUAGGGGUUCUGAGAGGAAGGUCCCCCACAUUGGAACUGAGACACGGUCCAAACUCCUACGGGAGGCAGCAGUGAGGAAUAUUGGUCAAUGGGCGCUAGCCUGAACCAGCCAAGUAGCGUGAAGGAUGAAGGCUCUAUGGGUCGUAAACUUCUUUUAUAUAAGAAUAAAGUGCAGUAUGUAUACUGUUUUGUAUGUAUUAUAUGAAUAAGGAUCGGCUAACUCCGUGCCAGCAGCCGCGGUAAUACGGAGGAUCCGAGCGUUAUCCGGAUUUAUUGGGUUUAAAGGGAGCGUAGGUGGACUGGUAAGUCAGUUGUGAAAGUUUGCGGCUCAACCGUAAAAUUGCAGUUGAUACUGUCAGUCUUGAGUACAGUAGAGGUGGGCGGAAUUCGUGGUGUAGCGGUGAAAUGCUUAGAUAUCACGAAGAACUCCGAUUGCGAAGGCAGCUCACUGGACUGCAACUGACACUGAUGCUCGAAAGUGUGGGUAUCAAACAGGAUUAGAUACCCUGGUAGUCCACACAGUAAACGAUGAAUACUCGCUGUUUGCGAUAUACAGUAAGCGG
rnacentral:rRNA from 1 species